AUUGAACGCUGGCGGCAUGCCUUACACAUGCAAGUCGAACGGCAGCACGGGUGCUUGCACCUGGUGGCGAGUGGCGAACGGGUGAGUAAUACAUCGGAACAUGUCCUGUAGUGGGGGAUAGCGCGGCGAAAGCCGGAUUAAUACCGCAUACGAUCUACGGAUGAAAGCGGGGGACCUUCGGGCCUCGCGCUAUAGGGUUGGCCGAUGGCUGAUUAGCUAGUUGGUGGGGUAAAGGCCUACCAAGGCGACGAUCAGUAGCUGGUCUGAGAGGACGACCAGCCACACUGGGACUGAGACACGGCCCAGACUCCUACGGGAGGCAGCAGUGGGGAAUUUUGGACAAUGGGCGAAAGCCUGAUCCAGCAAUGCCGCGUGUGUGAAGAAGGCCUUCGGGUUGUAAAGCACUUUUGUCCGGAAAGAAAUCCUUGGCUCUAAUACAGUCGGGGGAUGACGGUACCGGAAGAAUAAGCACCGGCUAACUACGUG
rnacentral:rRNA from 1 species